UCCAAAAUAGAUGACCCAACUCUAUACUAGCUUUGUACUAAAGUUAGAAUAAAGUUGAGUCAUCUAUUUUGAAACGAAGGGAGAAGGGUGUAGGUACGUGCAGCAACACGCAUCUGAUUACAUUGUUUACUCGUGCAUAUGUAGCAGAACGAGUCCACGACCGAAGACCAGCUUUCGCAACAGAAUUCCGACGCCCAUUAAACGCAUUAACGUGUGCAUGAAGGGCGGCUUCUCGCGCUAUACACGUCAUCACAAGGAGAUGAAAAGCGUUACGAUUGAGUGGGAGGGACUGGGACGCUCGCGGGCAGAAAGAGAGAGACAAAAAAAAAAUCAGGUUCCUCGCCUCUCACAUUCUCCCCCACGCCCGUGACCUCCUCUCGUUCCGCACGCCAACGUAGCCGCCGCCUCCUCGCCUCCGCCUCUUCCAUCACCCACGCCGGCCGAUUCCAGCGAGUCCUGGCGGCGAGUAGCACACCAACGACCUCCCAACACCUCGCUCCUUCCUCCCAUCCAUCCAGAUUCGUCGCUAGAAGCCUCCCGCGCUCGCUCCCGAGUCCCGACCCGCAGCCGUGGCUAGGGUUUCAGCGCGGCGUCCCCUUCGUGCCGGCGAGGUCCGGCGGCCUCCGGCGGCUCGUCUCCGUCGCCCUCCCCCUCCCCCCACCCCCACCCGCCACGUGUGGCUCCGCCUCGUGGACAGUCCUCCCGUGCCCGAUGGCUUCGGGCCGUACCUCCUCUCCAUUGAUUUGAUGCAGACGAGUGCCCAGUUCCCACAGCAACCAUGGCCUGACCUAGGGACAUCGCACAAUCCCCAGUUUUCCCAGGUCUAGCUCGUGGCUACGAGGCGGCGGCGACGGCGUUUCCAACACCUGCUACGCCGAUGUCAGCCACGGUGGCGCUGGCAACUCAGCCAUCAGGUGAGAGCGGUGAGAUAAGCAACCUCUGUUCGCUAGAGUAGGGCUAUGAGAAAAAGAUCAGAAGAGCACGGCCGUCGGGCAACGGCACACCGGCAGCGCGCAGACGGGCCUCCACGCCGCGGCCUCGGACCGAAAGAGUUCAUGGACGGUCUCACCGUCUCAGAAGGCAGAUCACGCGGCCGCCAUCCUGCACCCGUACACGGUUCAUGCCGCCGACGGCGAAGUUGUCAGAGAUGGCGCUUCGUGCUGUCCUCUGUAGUUUCUUCUGUCAUCUGCAGUUCAGUGCUUUGUGCUUGCACCUAUUAUGAACUAGAAUCUGUAAUUAUGUGCUAGCUCCCCUAGUGAUUGACAGUUCUUAUGUACGUGCUUGGUGCUCUGUAGAUUGUUUUUAUUCUAGAAUCUAGAUGUUCAGACUUCAGAACACUUGCUGACCCUGUAUGUACGUGCUUGGUGCUUGCUCCUGUAGUGAUUGAUAGUUCUGUGCUUGCUCCUGUAGUGAACAACAUGUACAUAAUGGAUGAAUUGUUAGCAGCACUUGUGUGGUCAGUUAAACAAAUUCUUCAUUUUUUGUUCUAUAUUUCAGUUAUGUUUGUUGUCACAAUUGUUAUCAGCACUUCAUACUGAAAAUGGCCUCUCCUUAUGCUUAAAUGCAUUGUUUAUAUUUCAGUUUCAGCUUGUCUAAAACUUUGCUUCUCUAGCCAUAUCUGAAAUUGAGGGUUUGUGUGUGCGGAAAUACUGAAAAAAUUCAUGUUGUGUGUGUGCCUUCAGGCUGAUGGUUGUAUGCUUCAUACCUUUAUUUCAGUUUCUGUGAUAUACUUGACAUUUUGAAUAUACUAGGCAAUUUUUUUUCAAUACGCUAUUUUGAAUAUAGCACGCUAUAACUUGUAUAGCAUUUGGAGAAGGGCCUCGCUAUUUUUGAUAGCAUGCUAUUUUUUACAUUGUUUAUGACACAUCUAUGGAGUAGCAAUACAUUCAGUUAUAAUCAUUUUGAUACUUCGCCAAAUCCGGUAAACCAUAACAAUGAUACUACCUCAAAAGAAUCCUGCUGGAGAUCAAAGGAAAGGGCACUUCUGCUCCUUUUUAUCUCAAGGUAGUCAGUGUGGGAAUCACUUCCAGGUUGUCUCAUGUUAUCGCUUACAUCACAAGUGUGUCUGAUUUUGCAUAUGGUUAUAGUUACACCUUCAGUUUUGAUUUCAGAGUCCAAGGAUGGUUGCACUCCUGUCAAAUGUUGCAUAUGGCUGUUACAAUUAUGCCUUUAUGCAUCAGGUUACUAAUCCACAUUUCUUUUGUUUUGUGCAGUUGACGUAUUGCAGAUUUUUGCUCAUCUGAUUUGUAUGCUGACAUAACUUAUGGUCGGCAAGCACUGCUGCCCCUCUUUCUGCUCAAAUGUGUUCUCUGUGAGCCAGCUUUGGUUUGAGGACACGACAUCGCCAAAUCGUCACUGAAACACAGCGGCUUCGUCUGGCAACCGCGGACACGAUGGCACAUCGUUGGGUCACCCAAGCUGAGUCGCCGCAGAUCCGAUCAGGUACCCACCCCCCUGUCUGAUCUAUAACAAACACCAAUUUUAGGCUUACCAUAUCAACAGAUACGGAUCGGAUUAAUUUCCUUCCACUUUCCUAUAUGCUUAAUGAUCGUUGAUAAGUAGAGAUCUCGAGGAUGCGGCAGAUUAUGUUUUGAAAAAUGCAUCAGGCAGAGCCCUCAAAGAUAAGGACAAUAAUGCUCAAAGAUUUGUUGUGGGCUCUGCAACCUAUUUAUUUUCUGCUUUUCAAUUAUGUCUUCCGUCAUUUACUUUUAGACUCAUUCUCAUUCUCUAUCUAAAUAUGUAGUGGCAAUGAAAUCAGAUUUGUUCUCGGGGGUUUGUGCUGAUGAAUUUGAUGUCGAGAUUGUCUAUUCUAUUGGCAAAAAGGCCCCCCUUUAGUUCA